GUGGAGGUUUCAUUCUGGUACGUAUUCUAUUUGCUCCGGAUACUGAAUAAUGACGGUAAAUUUAUAAAGAUACACGAUAAUAAGUUAAAUUAAGCAGUGACCCAACUACACGUUGAAUGUGAACAAAUGAGCAGUAAUUUGCGUCGUUUCGUAUCGCUCGUUUCAGAGCAAAUGUGAAUAUCAAAUGAGUGUUUAAGCCGGUCAUUUGGAUCACUCUCGGCUGAUGCCAAUCAUUUCAAAAUGGAAGCUUGCGGUGUUCACUCGAUGACUGUUAAUUACACUAUGACUACAAGGGAAGCUAGAAAGUUUGUUUUGUGAAGGAAGACGGAAAAAGCAAAGAUUUUCAGUGAAAGUUGUGCUAUCACAAGUUGAUCGUCUUGAUCUCGUGCAGAUUGAAUACGUUCGAGGCGAGCCGGAACUAAAGGGUCUUAUUGUUAUUCACCCCAGUGUGACAACUAACUAACCAGACCGUGCCCUCGGUCUGUAUACAUACAUGAUUGUUUACGAACCCAAAUACAAAAGGAUUGUUUUGAUUCGCUUUUUGAAUAUGAUACCCUAACUUAAAAUCUGUCAAGACGAAAAUAUAAUUGUACUCUUAUUUAUUUCUGUUAACAAAUAUAUUAAACAAAUAUUUGUCUCAUACCUCCGUUUAGGAACACGAUCAUAAAUAUAAUUGAUGCCACCGACAAUGACUGAGACGGAAAUAAAAGGACAGAAAUAUUUUUCUUGCAACAAAUAAUAGCUAGAUAUCGAAGAUGCUUUCACGAAAUAUAUGUCAUCUAAGAUUUGUAGCCGAGAAAUUGGUUCUAUCUUUGCAGUUCCCGCUAUAUAUUUUCAUGGUAUUAUUAAAUUUUUCGUUUGUCUGAUCAAAAUCAUAAAAUCUAGAUCAAAAAACUUACGGAGUGAAUUUAAUAUCAUGCCUAUCGAUACUAUUUUACGAUUUAUAAAGGAUCUUGUUAAAUAUAACAUUUUGGGGCAUAAAAAUAUUAGUUAAGUUUUCAUUGUAAUAAAUUACUUUCAUGUUAUCAAAUACUAUAGAUUCCCAUAUCUCAUAUUUGUAGUAAUAUUUUUUUUUAAUAAUUUAUUAUAUCUUCUGUCUGAUUUUAGUUUUUAUAUUAUAUGUAUUUAAAAUUUAUUAAAAUGUAUGUUGUGAUACUCUUGAUUAUUUAAGACGUAAUACCCUCCGGUUGGGUUUAUUUUUAUAUUGUAUAAAGUGGAAAACGAAUCAAAUACAUAGACAGAGCUGUAAACUUGAUUACGGAAUCGAAGGAAAGAACAAACAAGGGAAGAGAAAUCAAGGUAAAGAAACUGUUUACACUCGUACUUAGUAAUCCAGAAAAUAAAUUUACUUUAUAGAUA